GUAGUCUCGCACAGAUGCAUAUCAAUAAGCGGAGGAAAAGAAACUAACAAGGAUUCCCUCAGUAACGGCGAGUGAAGCGGGAAGAGCUCAAAUUUGAAAUCUUGAAAGGUCACCUUUCACGAAUUGUAGUUUAAAGAAGUGUUUUCUGUUACGAUCGUAAUAUAAGUUCUUUGGAAUAGGACAUCACAGAGGGUGAGAAUCCCGUCUAUGAUUGCGAUUUGUAGCUUUGUGAUUACACUUUCAAAGAGUCGGGUUGUUUGGGAAUGCAGCCCAAAACGGGAGGUAAAUUUCUUCUAAGGCUAAAUAUUGGCGAGAGACCGAUAGCGAACAAGUACCGUGAGGGAAAGAUGAAAAGAACUUUGAAAAGAGAGUUAAAUAGUACGUGAAAUUGUCAAAAGGGAAGCGUUUAACACCAGUGUUGUUUUCUGAAAAUCAACCUCUGUUAGCUUUAUGCAUGUUUGUUUAGACCUAAUCAGCUAUCUUGCAUGUUCUAUUGUUUGCAGUGGUGCACUUUUCAGUUUACAGGUCAACAUCAGUUUUUUUUACCGUAAAAAAGUUAAAGAAAGGUAGCUCAUGGCUCCGGUCGUGAGUGUUAUAGUCUUUUUCCUAUGCGGUAGGAGAGACUGAGGUCUGCAGUGUAGGCUAUUUGGCUAGAUACUCAGGUGCUAUGUGAUACCAUUUCAUAAACAACUUGUUGAUUAUGUUUUGUCUAUUGCAUACUCGCUUGUACUAUCAUACCUACGCUUAGGAUGUUGAGUCGUAGAGCACGCAG
rnacentral:rRNA from 1 species